GGGGUGAGCGGCGGACGGGUUAGUAACGCGUGGGAAUAUGCCCGACACUAAGGAAUAGCCUCUGGAAACGGAGAGUAAUACCUUAUACGCCCUUCGGGGGAAAGAUUUAUCGGUGACGGAUUAGCCCGCGUUAGAUUAGAUAGUUGGUGGGGUAAUGGCCUACCAAGUCUACGAUCUAUAGCUGGUUUUAGAGGAUGAUCAGCAACACUGGGACUGAGACACGGCCCAGACUCCUACGGGAGGCAGCAGUGGGGAAUCUUGGACAAUGGGCGCAAGCCUGAUCCAGCCAUGCCGCGUGAGUGAUGAAGGCCUUAGGGUCGUAAAGCUCUUUCGCCAGAGAUGAUAAUGACAGUAUCUGGUAAAGAAACCCCGGCUAACUCCGUGCCAGCAGCCGCGGUAAUACGGAGGGGGUUAGCGUUGUUCGGAAUUACUGGGCGUAAAGCGCGCGUAGGCGGAUUAGUCAGUUAGAGGUGAAAUCCCGGGGCUCAACCCCGGAACUGCCUUUAAUACUGCUAGUCUUGAGUUCGAGAGAGGUGAGUGGAAUUCCGAGUGUAGAGGUGAAAUUCGUAGAUAUUCGGAGGAACACCAGUGGCGAAGGCGGCUCACUGGCUCGAUACUGACGCUGAGGUGCGAAAGUGUGGGGAGCAAACAGGAUUAGAUACCCUGGUAGUCCACACCGUAAACGAUGAAUGCCAGUCGUCGGGUAGCAUGCUAUUCGGUGACA
rnacentral:rRNA from 1 species